rnacentral:rRNA from 1 species
AGAGUUUGAUUCUGGCUCAGAACGAACGCUGGCGGCGUGGAUAAGACAUGCAAGUCGAACGGGAGAAUUGCUAGCUUGCUAAUAAUUCUCUAGUGGCGCACGGGUGAGUAACACGUGAGUAACCUGCCCCCGAGAGCGGGAUAGCCCUGGGAAACUGGGAUUAAUACCGCAUAGUAUCGAAAGAUUAAAGCAGCAAUGCGCUUGGGGAUGGGCUCGCGGCCUAUUAGUUAGUUGGUGAGGUAACGGCUCACCAAGGCGAUGACGGGUAGCCGGUCUGAGAGGAUGUCCGGCCACACUGGAACUGAGACACGGUCCAGACACCUACGGGUGGCAGCAGUCGAGAAUCAUUCACAAUGGGGGAAACCCUGAUGGUGCGACGCCGCGUGGGGGAAUGAAGGUCUUCGGAUUGUAAACCCCUGUCAUGUGGGAGCAAAUUAAAAAGAUAGUACCACAAGAGGAAGAGACGGCUAACUCUGUGCCAGCAGCCGCGGUAAUACAGAGGUCUCAAGCGUUGUUCGGAAUCACUGGGCGUAAAGCGUGCGUAGGCUGUUUCGUAAGUCGUGUGUGAAAGGCGCGGGCUCAACCCGCGGACGGCACAUGAUACUGCGAGACUAGAGUAAUGGAGGGGGAACCGGAAUUCUCGGUGUAGCAGUGAAAUGCGUAGAUAUCGAGAGGAACACUCGUGGCGAAGGCGGGUUCCUGGACAUUAACUGACGCUGAGGCACGAAGGCCAGGGGAGCGAAAGGGAUUAGAUACCCCUGUAGUCCUGGCAGUAAACGGUGCACGCUUGGUGUGCGGGGAAUCGACCCCCUGCGUGCCGGAGCUAACGCGUUAAGCGUGCCGCCUGGGGAGUACGGUCGCAAGAUUAAAACUCAAAGGAAUUGACGGGGACCCGCACAAGCGGUGGAGUAUGUGGCUUAAUUCGAUGCAACGCGAAGAACCUUACCUGGGCUUGACAUGUAAUGAACAACAUGUGAAAGCAUGCGACUCUUCGGAGGCGUUACACAGGUGCUGCAUGGCCGUCGUCAGCUCGUGUCGUGAGAUGUUUGGUUAAGUCCAGCAACGAGCGCAACCCCUGUUGCCAGUUACCAGCACGUGAAGGUGGGGACUCUGGCGAGACUGCCCAGAUCAACUGGGAGGAAGGUGGGGACGACGUCAGGUCAGUAUGGCCCUUAUGCCCAGGGCUGCACACGUACUACAAUGCCCAGUACAGAGGGGGCCGAAGCCGCGAGGCGGAGGAAAUCCUAAAAACUGGGCCCAGUUCGGACUGUAGGCUGCAACCCGCCUACACGAAGCCGGAAUCGCUAGUAAUGGCGCAUCAGCUACGGCGCCGUGAAUACGUUCCCGGGUCUUGUACACACCGCCCGUCACAUCAUGGAAGCCGGUCGCACCCGAAGUAUCUGAAGCCAACCGCAAGGAGGCAGGGUCCUAAGGUGAGACUGGUAACUGGGAUGAAGUCGUAACAAGGUAGCCGUAGGGGAACCUGCGG